ACACACACACACACACACACACAUACACAUGUGCCAUACAGCCUCUGACGCACAGGUGAGAGAGCACGCACACACACACACACACACACACACAUGCAUAGUGCCAUAUAGCGUCUGACGCACAGGAGAGGCAUCCUUACCAAUGGACCAGAUGAGUGGAGCACAAGACUGAACCAGUCAAACACACACACACACACACACACACACACACACACACACAGAAGGUUGGAGAGGACAUCAUACCCCCCCCUUCCUUGUGAAUAGGUUAUUUCUACAGGCCUCAGUUUCCCAAGGUCCUUUGUUUUUUUUCCCCACAAUGCAGUGCACUGUGGUUGUGACAUACAAUACUGCUUGCCAUUGGCUCUCAAACUAACCACUCGGGCUACUUCUCAAUGUUCUAGAUGCUUUGGAACCACACACACUACCAGACUUUUUUUCUUUUUUUUUUAUGCUCACAUAUCUGCUUGCUGUUUUCACAAAUACACACACACACACACACACACACACACACACACACGUUCAGGAACAUUUCAAGCAGCACGAAGCUCAGACUGUUGGCGUGGGCCAAAUGCUCUGUCCCCUGUUAGCCAUUUAUAUUCCCUCUUUCUCUAUUUCCUUUCUGUUUUUCACAAGGAAUACUGUACAGUUCAGCGUCAUCGCAACAUGCCCAGAAUCCACACGCUUUGUGUGUGUGUGUGUGUGUGUGUGUGUGUGUGUGUGUGUGUGUGUGUGUGUGUGGUCAAUGCAUCCCCAUUCCAAAGAUGCCACGAGGGGAAGAGGCUUGAUCAGCUGCUCCUCUACUCUGCUGUGCAAAAAUCAGCUUUAAUUUCAGCCUCAUCCCCCUUCACUUAGCCUUAGUGUGUGUGUGUGUGUGUGUGUGUGUGUGUGUAAAGAUGGCUGUGUGUGGGUGUGUGUUCAUCAUCCACCUCACUCAUUCAGUUCUGCAUUGCUGGUGCUGAUGCUUUCAACAGCUGGAAUUCUGUGUGUGUGUGUGUGUGUGUGUGUGUGUGUGUGUGUGUGUCUGUAGGUCUAUGCAAAUAGCCCCAUUUUUUACAGGUCUGUGUGUAUAUAAGUACUAACAUUUCCAACAGUGCACAAGAGUGCCAGUGUUUUUAACCUUUGCAAAGCAGAAUGAUCUCUCAAAUAACAAAUCACUAACAUCCAUUUCAGCAUCAUCACUAAAGCCAUGAUCAAUGGCCUCUUUAGGUCCACACACACACACACACACACACACACACACACACUCGCCUGUCUCAACAUCAGAGGUGUGUGUUACCCUACCUCGUCGGAGGGAUUGAGAGGGUGUGACCACCACCCCCCCACCCUUCCACUAGUGAUUCCACCACUCAUCUCACAGCCGGGUCCUCCACACACACACACACACACACACACACACACACACACACACACACACACACACACACACACACACGCGCCUGCUCUCUUUAACUUGUGGUGCUAAAGGACUCCUCUGAUUCAGGGAUCCAGUUUGGGUUCUGCUCCAGGUGAUGGGGUGCAGAGAGUCCACAGGCCAGCGUCCACUGAGGGAGGGAGAGAGAGGGAGGGAGGGAGAGAGGGAGAGAGAGAGGGAGAGAGGGAGAGAGGGAGAGAGAGAGAGAGAACGAAACUAGACUUACAAUGCGCAGUGUGUUCCAAAAACUCGCUGCUGUUGUGUUUUUUUUUUUUUCCUCCCUCUCUUUGGUGUUUUUCUUUUCUUUCGUUCUUUCUUUUUGUUUCUUGUGACGCAUGUUCUGGCGUCUGCCAGUGACCUAUUAUCAUUUCACAAACUCACAUCACGCAAGCUUCAGUCUGGGAGCGCUCAUGUCCCUGACGAGACGGGUCCACCUCCGGCAACUCCGUUUAUCUCCCCCCCCCCCUCCAUCACCUCUCGUCUCGUCUCGUCUCGUCUCGUCUCAUCGAUCAUUUCUCGCGGAGACCGUGGGAUCGGCCCGGGGCCACUGGCAGACGCCGCGUUCACGCCGGGCGACGUCUGCCGAGGGGCCGAGCCGUGGGGUGGGGUGGGGUGGGGUCCGAAAUCAUUUCUUUUGUACGGGGGUGGGGAGGGUAAAACUAAAAAAAAAUCUGGUGACAGGGUUGUUGCAUCUUCUAGUCCGUGCAGUGCAGUGCAGCUCUUCAUUGUUGAAUCAUGUGGCGUCUCCUCGUCAGGCCAACACCUUGACUAAACACUACUGCUCGAGUCGUCAUGGAGAUUUGAGUUAUGCUGGAACACGCCAGGAAAUGGUUUCAAGC
ensembl:lncRNA